UACGGGGGGGGCAAGCGUUGUUCGGAAUUACUGGGCGUAAAGGGCUCGUAGGCGGCCAACUAAGUCGGAUGUGAAAUCCCCAGGCUCAACUUGGGAACUGCAUCCGAUACUGGAUGGCUUGAAUUCGGGAGAGGGAUGCAGAAUUCCAGGUGUAGCGGUAAAAUGCGUAGAUAUCUGGAGGAAUACCGGUGGCGAAGGCGGCAUCCUGGACCGACAUUGACGCUGAGGAGCGAAAGCUAGGGGAGCAAACGGG
rnacentral:rRNA from 1 species